rnacentral:rRNA from 1 species
UGGGGAAUUUUGGACAAUGGGCGCAAGCCUGAUCCAGCCAUGCCGCGUGCGGGAAGAAGGCCUUCGGGUUGUAAACCGCUUUUGUCAGGGAAGAAAUCUUCUGAGUUAAUACCUCGGGAGGAUGACGGUACCUGAAGAAUAAGCACCGGCUAACUACGUGCCAGCAGCCGCGGUAAUACGUAGGGUGCAAGCGUUAAUCGGAAUUACUGGGCGUAAAGCGUGCGCAGGCGGUUUUGUAAGACAGAGGUGAAAUCCCCGGGCUCAACCUGGGAACUGCCUUUGUGACUGCAAGGCUUGAGUGCGGCAGAGGGGGAUGGAAUUCCGCGUGUAGCAGUGAAAUGCGUAGAUAUGCGGAGGAAACACCGAUGGCGAAGGCAAUCCCCUGGGCCUGCACUGACGCUCAUGCACGAAAGCGUGGGGAGCAAACAGGAUUAGAUACCCUGGUAGUCCACGCCCUAAACGAUGUCAACUGGUUGUUGGGAAGGUUCCUUCUCAGUAACGUAGCUAACGCGUGAAGUUGACCGCCUGGGGAGUACGGCCGCAAGGUUGAAACUUAAAUGAAUUGACGGGGU